GCCUGCUGGGACAACAGUUCAAGCAGGUGAACCUACACAGCAUGAAAGUAUCACACAUUUCCUUAGUGCAGCUAACCCUGUGUGACCAGGGCUUCAACACAUACCACUGUGACCACAACCUAGCCAUGAGCAUGAGCCUCACCAGCAUGUCCAAAAUGCUAAAAUACAACAAUGGCAGUGAAGACAUCACUACAUGGAGGGCUGAAGGUACUAUGGAUCUCUUGGUGCUAGAAUUUGAAGCACUAAAUCAAGAGAACUUUUAGACUGUGAAUUGAAGUUAAUGACUCUAGAUGUUGAGCAACUUGAAAUUCCAGAACAAGAGUACAGCUGUGUAAUAAAGAUGCAUUCUAGUGAAUUUGUUCAUAUAUGCCAAGAUCUCAGUCAUAUUGGAGAGUCUGCUAUAAUUUCUUGUGCAAAAGAUGGAGUGAAUUUUUCUGCAAAUGGAGAACUUGGACAUGGAAACAUUGCCACAAACAAGUAAUUACAAUAAAGAAGAGGAGGCUGUUGCCAUAAUGAUGAAUGGGCCAGUUCAGCUAACUUUUGCACUAAGUUACUUAAAUUUCUUUAUAACAGGCACUCCACUCUCUCUUCCCAGUAACACUCAGUAUGUCUGCAGAUGCACCCCUUGCUGUAGAGUAUAAGAUUGCCGGAUAUGGAACAUUUAAAGUAUUAUUUGGCUCCCAAAAUUGAGGAUGAAAAAGGAUUUUAG
rnacentral:lncRNA from 1 species